AGUAUAAAGGAGGAACAAAGAAUAUCUUCCUCAUCUAUCUCCUAGGAAUGUCCUGAAGAUAAAAUGAUAUGAAGUUGGAAAAAGCAUAAGCCCGGCUAUCAAAGACAAAAACCGGACAAGUAAGGACAUUCAUUUUAUUCAGCCUACUGCAAUAAAAGCAGACACCCGACAAGAUUAGAUUGCCUCAGGAGUUUGAGUUGGACUUUUACAGGGAAGAACACGCAAGGUGCAGGCAGGCUGCACCCACCUGUAACCCCUAGGAGCAGUUGAUUUCACUCACCUGGAAGUCAGUCUCAGCAUCCAAAGAAUCAUCAGUCUGGCAUCGAAACGUAACUGAAAAACAAUCAAAUAUCUUCCAAAGGACAAACAGCAUUAUUCUCAUGGUUAAAAGAAGCUAUUAUGGCAGCUUAAGGGGUGUGGGUUUCAGAUGGAGUGGGGAUGUGCUCCAGGCCUACCAUCAGCGCCACUGGGAAGGAUGGAGAAGAUGGGUAUCUGCCAAUAAUCCCCUAAUGGUGUGCUGAUCCCAAGCAGUAACCUACAUUGUCAGAGAGUUCUGCAAAGAGCUCGAUAUAAAGAUCCUAGGAGCCCUGAUUCGGAGAGCCAAGGACAUAAAAUUGGAAAUAAAUACACCAGCCAGAAGGUGAAAUGGGGUCCACUCUGUUUCAUGGCCACUGUAAUUACUAAUAAAUAGGAUGCGAGUGCUGUUGGGGCCUGGCUUGCAUGGAGCUCCGGAACACGUUUUCCUGUCUUCUGCAAAUCUAGGAAAGAGGGAACGACAAGGGCUCUAGUACCCAAUGUCCCAGUGAAGGGGAGUGGCUUGCCAAGGCCACACAGAGCAGAGCUGGAGUUUGGCUGCAGCCCCCCAGCCCCAACCCACCCUGAGGGACCUGCACACAGACUGUGC